UCGUGGCAUCCGCGCCGCGGCCGCAAGUAUAGCAGGUUCGUACCUGGUGUUCAUCGCCGUUAAGUCAUCGCUGCUGCCACCCAGGCACGGCUCUCUAUGACGCCGCUCCCUCCACCCUCUAGGCACUGCCAGCCGUAAGAAUUUUAACUGCGACACUCGCUUCAUCAGGAGAUUUUAUUGGCUGCAGACACACCCAGCAUCUUCUUGCGCUCCUCCUUGAGGUGGAUGGACAGCUAGCUGCAGAUGGCACAGAAUGAUGCAGCAACAAAGCUUCUUUGUACAGACAACCCUGGACACACUUCUAGCAGCAAUUCUUCUUGCAGGAACUGGUGCAAGAACAGGAUUUAUCCGUGGCACAGGAGCAGUUGGUGUCCACUGGGAGUGGAGGCAGAAGAGAGACCAGAGCGGGUAUGUUAGGAGAGAAAGCAGUGACUUCAACAGAAGUGGAGUAAAUAAAGAUGAUUGCAGAACUUGGAAGCUGACGAAAUUAAUUUUGGAAAAGAGCUGGCUUGGAGCAUGACAGAAGAAUGCGUUGGAAAGAAGUUCGUGGCUUUCAGAGAAAGGCACUGCCCAGUGGGCAAUGCUGGGAGCCCAACUCAAGACUGAUGUGUGCUUGGCAGGCAGUCUACCCCCGAUCUCAGUCCUCAGCCUUUCGGCCUUUUUUCUUUCCUUUUUGGAGACAGAAUUGCAUCAUAUGGCAUCCUACACAGUCCUGCCUCAGUCUCUGGAGUGCUGGGAUUGUAGGCCUAUGCCACCUAGCCUUUCUACAAUACAAACAAAUAUGAAAAGAAGAGGGGCUUCUUUGGAAAGGAGUACAGGGACUAUGGAAGAGAUGAAAAGAUAAUAUUGUCAGAAAUUAUGCCGCUUUUGAAGAGAUAAACUGAACUCUUUUGAUUCUGUGAGGUUAUUAAAGAAUAUAAUUUUCAAAUCACGAUAAAAUCUUGAUUGCUGGGAAGUUGGAAUUUUGUCAUUUGUCGAAUCUGUCCCUUACUUAUACUGAAGUUUUCUGCUCAGAUUCUACAACACAUGAGGAUAAUCAUUGUUUCCAUGGAAACCUUGGGAGACAGUUGAAAGUCUGGUCCCUGUUGCCUGGAGUAUUAACACAAUGUGGCUGCAAAGUUAGUCUUUUCCUGCUACCAUCUCCUGAAUACUGGGAGUAACUACACGUAUGCACGAACCUGCCCAUCUUUGCCUCUGUUAACAGCUGCCACUGUCUCUUCACGACAUGAUGGCUGACCUAGGUUGGAAGGAACAGAGCCAGUUGGCCAUGGACUGAAACUUUUGGAACUGGCUUCUUGGUUAACCUUGAAUCGUUAGCCUGAAGCAAUCCUACUGCUUUGGUCUUCCGGUUAACUGGGUCUACAGGUACCUGCCUCUGACAGUUUGUACGUGAGGAUUCUGAGGAGUUAAUGUUUCCAUGAAUAUCUCAAAAGGAGAUGUGGGCAAACGAACAGUUAUCUCACUCCUGUAGGUUGGACUACAGUGAUCACUGAGUAGGAGCUUCGUCUUUAAAAUCUGGGGUGUGCUGUUAUGGUUGGUAUUCAUUUUUCCUUUACCCGCUUUCCCCAUACCUCCAUUUAUAAUUUUAUUGCUGCUCAUAGCUCCAGAAGGAUAUAGUAACAGAGCAGGCAUGGCCUCAGUGUGGUAAGCUAAGUGAGAACAGGAAGUGGAACCAGGGUAGAAAACCUCAGUCUUGCCCCUAGUGGCACACUUCAAGCAAGGUUCUCCUUCUGAAAGGUCCCAUUACAUUCCCAAAUGUUACCACCACCUGGGAUAUGAGUGUUCUGAUACAUGAGCUAGGGCCACGGUGUUCCUCCAAAGCACCACAGAGGGCAGAAUGUACAGCCUGCUAGAAGAGCUUUCUAUGAAAGGAUCCAUCUCUUCACUGGAGCACGCAGAGAUAUAAAGAAGACAACUUGGAGUGGUCUUGAAAGGAUUUGAGGUUUGACAUGGACUCCAAAAAGCACAAGAUUCAUGGUUUUCCUUCUUUGUUUCUUGCUAGGUAAUCCUGGCUAGCUAGUAACUACCUACAAAGAUGGAGGAGGCCCCAGUCUUGUAGCAAUCCUGCUGCUGCCUCACAAUUGUUAGGAUUAUAGACAUGGGCACAUGUUCAUUAGAAAGUUGCACUGUUCUCUAAUUCAUCUUUUAAGAUAAACUAUAGAGGGAUGAAGAUUAGCAUGUUACACCACCACUGAUAGAAACCAUUCUAGUAUCACAAAACAUUCAACUCAUGUAGAAUUUCCCUUGGCUGUUUGGGAUGACAGAGAGAUGGAAUUGAGUUUUUAGAAAGUAAACCACACAAGAAAGUCUAGGGAACUGACAGAGCCUGGCUGGAUUGCACAGUUCAUCCUCAUACUACUUUUUACUGACCCAGCUCCUGAGGAAAAGACCCUGCUGUGUUUACUUCAACGCUGAUUUAAUAAUCAUAGUUUUCAUGACUGGUCCUUUAGAAAUUUGGCCUGCUUUAUAUUUGCCCCUGGGGCUUAGACAAGGGAGAAAAAUGGAAAAUACUGUCCGAGGUAACCACAGCCACACAGAACCUCAUACACCAAGUGGUUAGCCUUAUAGAGCACAGGUGCCUGUUCUCAGUCACAUGCUAUCCCUGUCUUAUGAUUUUGUUUACGUUAACCAUUCUUUUCCACAGCAUUAAUGUCCUUAUACGCAAAAUAAGACAGAAAUCUUUGUUGUGUUAGACUGUUAGACAUCAACAAUGAAAAAUCCCUCAGGCCCAAAUAUCAGAAGAUAGCACCGAAAUACCAAGUUAGAACGAAGAGUGUGGGCAGUGGAUUUGAAGGUAAAUGCAGACAUUAUCAUGGUUGCUCCUACAAUACAGAACAUUCUUGUUUAUUAGUCUGAUACCAGCCAUUUGAUGUCAUGUUGACAACUAAAGAAGCUUUAUAUAAGAACAGGAGCUCUGUAAGAAAAUAUUGUAGGAAUUAGGCUUUAUAAGACAAUCAUGGCCCUUGGCACUCUUGGUUAAGUCUCGUAGGAUGGGUAGGGUAGAACUUAGGUGUGAAAAGUCUUGACUUUCAAUUAUUCUACAUUGAAUUCCCAGAACACCUGAGUCAAGCUUUAUUGUGUUUAUUACCCUCGGUCUUGCCUCCUCAUUCCUGUGUGGACUCCUUAACUCCUGCCUCUCUUUACCCAACCCAAAUGUGUUUCAGCAAUCUUCUUUCCCUGCCCAGUACUGGAUCUGUGCAAAGCUGAAUCAUGAAUCAGUGAGUGUGCGGAUUGGAACCCAAGUUGCUCUCUGGAUAGAACGAAAGGAGUGGUGCCCCAAGAAGAUGGAGAGGGAAGUUAUGAAGUGCUGUGACCAAAUAACAAAUGCUGAUGUUUGGGGAGAUAAUUGUUUCCGAUAGGAAAUGGAGUGAAUGCGAUGUCUUUCUUUUGUGAGGGAUUCAUAGACCGCUUCUCAACACUUGUUACAUGUUACUCCUUUUUUCGAGAUUUCUAUUUACAUAAUUGGGAAAGAAACCAAAACAAGGUUUUGAUUGAAUUCUGAUACAGGUAUUUAAAGACUUAAGGACAAGAUAUAGAAGAAGUGGUAAUUAACUGAUUAAAGAAGUACAGUUUAUGUCCAGUAGGCAGACAGGCUCCAGACAUCCUUAGUGCUGUCUUAACAUCAAAGGUUAAUCUACCUAAUACUUGUCAUCCUGAAAUGCAUGGUGGAACACCCAACAGACAAGAGCUACUUCAGGGAAGGACUAUGAUUUUUGUCAUGGAAGACAUUUAACACAGGGCAGCUCUUAUGCACUUACAUUAUAGAUAUUGCUCUUCCGGUGACUCUCAAUGCUCUUCCCACUUUCAGCUCACUGGGCACAUUGAACUAAAAAUUUUAUCAUCUCGUGAAUUAGUCCAAUACCUGAAGGAGCAAAAGAACCAACACCCAGUUGACAAGAAUAUGACGUGUUGAUUGAAGACCAUUAAGAAAGUAACUUAAUUCAAUUGGACUGGACUUUUUUAUUCUAUUGAAAAAGGAAUUUAUUUUCCCUCAGUGAAAGUAACAUGAUCAACAUUUUGAAAGUUGUGAACAGGCAUAGUUCUAUAACCCACAAAAUAAUUAUAAAAAUUUGAGUAUGGAUGCAGCAUAAUUUCAGAACAGAAUAGCCAUCAUACUUUUUAUAUAUCUUAAAUUCGAGUUUUCAAAAGUAUAUUUCUAUGUUAUAUCCUUUGAUUAGUACAAUAUAAAAUCUACAUCUAAUAUGUACUUCAGGUUUUAUUAGAUCAUACCAUAUUACUGUACAAUUUGGACUUUCCCAAUUUUUUUAUAUAAAAUGUAACAUACAUUGUACAUUAAUAUUUAUAUAUCUUGUUUCUUUAGAAUUAAUUUCUGCCAAUUAUUUUCUUUAUUUGAAUACUUGGGGUAUCAUAAAGGUGCUGUUGAGGUAUUCUCAAUAUGCUUGUACAACUUCCUGCCUGUAGUUAAUAAAUGUGGAUAUUUCAUUAAACAAUUGAAAUAUAACAUUUUCUCUUUGUAACAUUUUGUUGGUAUCUGAUUGUAGCUCUAUAGAUUGUAAAAUAUAUGUAGUUGCAUAUCUUCAGUCCAUGCAGACUGCUUUUGUGGCUGGGGGUUGUUUCCUGGAGAGGGUGUGUUGCCUUGCCUUUUAUUGAGUUGUGUAGUGGAAUUGCAUAUGUGCCAUCAUACCGAGCAGUUGGAAGUCUUCUAAAUUCAGUCACUCUUUACCCCUUUGCAUGGGAACGACUAAUUUGAUUGAUAAACAUAGCUAAUAUUUUGACUUCUAGAAAGUGAAAUCCGUAGAAUCAUAUGUAAUGUUUAGAGUUUGGAGUCUGGCUGCUCUCACUUCCUAAAUGUGAUUGAGUUUUACCCAUGCUGAUGGGCAUUAGACCAUUCUCUAGUUAUUUAACAUGUGGAAUAUUUCUGCUUCUGACAGUUACGAGCAAAGUUCAUAGGUAAUUUUAGGUAUAAUUGUCCUUAGCUCUGUGUAUGAGUCAAUAUGAUUAUAGUAGCCAGACACUAAAGGUAUCAGAUUUCGCCUGGACCUGGUGUUACAGGCAAUUUUCAGCUGCCCAACAUGGGUGAGUUUCCUUUCCUUUUGGUGUUUAAUUCUUCCCACCUUCCACAUAUUAAUUCUGUCAGAAGACCUGCCAUUCUUUCCUUUGCUGCGCACUGUACUUUCGUGUGAUCCCAUUUAUCAAACUUUGCUAUUAUUUCUUAAGCUGUUGUAGUCUUUUGAAGAAUUAUUGCCUAUGCUAUUAAUUCCAAGUAUUCUCCAGUUUCCUAUACGAGUUGUAGUUUGUGGCUUUAUUUUAAGGUGUUUUAUCCAUUUUGCACUAUUCUUUGUAUAGCGUGAAAGGCAGAGAUAUUGUACCAGUGGGUAUCCUACUUUUACUUUGGGAACUUUUGUUGAAAUGAGGGAGACAGGGUGAGCCUCAGUUUACAACUGAGCUCUAUGCCAUUGGCUCCCACUUUGGUAAGGGAGCUGAAUGAUGGCUAUGGCUUUCAAACAUACGAGAUAGAUGCCCGUGGUACCUAAUAUGGCAGUUCACCAUUGCAGAUCCUAUGUCAGCUAUUUUAAUAAACUUAUUCAGGUGGGUGGCUGGAGCGAUGGCUCAGGAGCCCUUGGUUGGAUUCCCAGCACCCUAUUUUGGCUUCUGCAUGGAAUAUGCACAUACAUGGUAUAGAGACACAGAGACAUGCAGAUAGAACAUCUAUGUGCAUAAAACACUACCAAUCAUGCUAAUAGAGGUUUUCUGCGACAUCCAUGUUAGGUGUCUAUGCAGUGUAAUCUGAAGUGUGAUAUUGAUGUUAUUCGUUGGUCUGAGGAUUGCCUUGGCUCUUUUCAUACGAAUUGCAAGAUUUUACACUAGUUAUCUGAUGAAUAUUUAAAUUUUCACUUAAUUUGUAGAUCACUUCAAUUAAUAUGACUUACUCUAUGUUUAGUGUUGGGCAGUGUCUAGUGUAUUAAUCUGCUUUACAGUUUUCAUUUCAGAGAUCUUGGUUACGUUUAUUUAUACUUGUUUGAUAUUUAUAAAUCUCUUAUGCAUGGAAUUUUUUUUUAGUAUAGAAUAGAGUUUAUUUACAACAUGGGAAGGGAGUUGAGGCAGUAGAGACAAAGAAA